AUUGAACGCUGGCGGCAGGCCUAACACAUGCAAGUCGAGCGAGUGGCGGACGGGUGAGUAAUGUAUGGGGAUCUGCCCGAUAGAGGGGGAUAACUACUGGAAACGGUGGCUAAUACCGCAUACUAUAGGAUGAACCCAUAUGGGAUUAGCUAGUAGGUGGGGUAAAGGCGCACCGAGGCGACGAGCCCUAGCUGGUCUGAGAGGAUGAUCAGCCACACUGGAACUGAGACACGGCCCAGACUCCUACGGGAGGCAGCAGUGGGGAAUAUUGCACAAUUGGCGCAAGCCUGAUGCAGCCAUGCCGCGUGUAUGAAGAAGGCCUUAGGGUUGUAAAGUACUUUCAGCGGGGAGGCGUUACCCGCAGAAGAAGCACCGGCUAACUCCGUGCCAGCAGCCGCGGUAAUAC
rnacentral:rRNA from 1 species